rnacentral:rRNA from 1 species
CCUACGGGAGGCAGCAGUGGGGAAUAUUGCGCAAUGGGCGAAAGCCUGACGCAGCGACGCCGCGUGUGGGAUGACGGCCUUCGGGUUGUAAACCACUGUCGGGAGGGACGAAUGCGCCGCAAGGCGAGUGACGGUACCUCCAAAGGAAGCACCGGCUAACUCCGUGCCAGCAGCCGCGGUAAUACGGAGGGUGCGAGCGUUGUCCGGAAUCACUGGGCGUAAAGGGCGCGUAGGCGGCCUGAUAAGUAGGGGGUGAAAUCUUGCGGCUUAACCGCAAGGCUGCCUUCUAAACUGUCAGGCUAGAGCACAGUAGAGGCAGGUGGAAUUCCCGGUGUAGCGGUGGAAUGCGUAGAGAUCGGGAAGAACAUCAGUGGCGAAGGCGGCCUGCUGGGCUGUUGCUGACGCUGAGGCGCGACAGCGUGGGGAGCAAACAGGAUUAGAUACCCUGGUAGUCCACGCCGUAAACGAUGGGCACUAGGCGUCGGGGGGAGCGACCCUCCCGGUGCCGUCGCUAACGCAGUAAGUGCCCCGCCUGGGGAGUACGGCCGCAAGGCUGAAACUCAAAGGAAUUGACGG